GACGAACGCUGGCGGCAGGCUUAACACAUGCAAGUCGAGCGGGGUGAUGGUGCUUGCACUAUCACUUAGCGGCGGACGGGUGAGUAAUGCUUAGGAAUCUGCCUAUUAGUGGGGGACAACAUCUCGAAAGGGAUGCUAAUACCGCAUACGUCCUACGGGAGAAAGCAGGGGAUCUUUAUGACCUUGCGCUAAUAGAUGAGCCUAAGUCGGAUUAGCUAGUUGGUGGGGUAAAGGCCUACCAAGGCGACGAUCUGUAGCGGGUCUGAGAGGAUGAUCCGCCACACUGGGACUGAAACACGGCCCAGACUCCUACGGGAGGCAGCAGUGGGGAAUAUUGGACAAUGGGGGGAACCCUGAUCCAGCCAUGCCGCGUGUGUGAAGAAGGCCUUAUGGUUGUAAAGCACUUUAAGCGAGGAGGAGGCUCUUUUGGUUAAUACCCAGAAUGAGUGGACGUUACUCGCAGAAUAAGCACCGGCUAACUCUGUGCCAGCAGCCGCGGUAAAAC
rnacentral:rRNA from 1 species